rnacentral:lncRNA from 1 species
GCACGUUCAAGCUCACACCGGUGCGCAAUGUUUUGCUACGUUUUCCGGGUUGAACGACACGUUUCCUGGAAACGGUGUGCAAUGGGUUUGAGAUGCGUUUUCUCUUGUUUGGUGGGUGUGUCAGAAAUGUCGGCCCAAUCAGCGGCAGCAUGUAUAUAAACCACGCGGUAUUAAAGAGACACCUCGCACAAUGGGUCCUAGUAAAGUAGUUUACAAAUGUGUCCGCUGCAGCUCGGUAUAUGCAACAAUUGAAGACAUUAAUAUUUUUAACUUCAUUGCAAGGCAAGUUUAUUUAUAUACCAAAUUUCAUACACAGUGGUAAUGAAGUGCUUUACAAAAAAUGAGAAUGAUAAUUAAUACAAGGUAUUUAAAAAUUAAGAACUAGAAAUAAAAUAAUUUAAAUUAGAAUUGAUUAGCUACCAGGAGAUAAAAUAGAUGUGUUUUCAGUCAGAAUUUGGUAAGAUGUGUGCUUUCAUUUGUUUCAGCAAUCCCUUUGGAACAGGCUAGUGCAUCAAAUGGACCUAGUCAACUUCCACUAGGCCUACACAUUCCCGCUGCACCACUGCAUUUGCCCCCAGCUCCUGCACCACAGAAGUUGGCUCCUGCACCACUUAAUUUGUCUCCGACUACUGCACCACUUAAUUUGUCGGUUGCUGGACCAUCACCUGUCUGUGUUCCAAAGUGGUACCAGUGUCAAACCCCCAACUAAUGCAUAAAGGUACAUUGUUCAUUCCUAGCACAAUUUUUCCGUUUAUAUAUUUUCUGUGACUUAUCUAUUUAAAUGUGUGCUAUAGAUACUAAGCCAUGGACGCACAAUGCAACAUUGCUUCUAAUUUCUCUGACAAAGCAAAUGGCUGAAGACUUUCAAUCUCCUGUAAUUAAAGAAGUAGAAGCUGACAAAGCAAAUGGCUGAAGACUUUCAAUCUCCUGUAUUAAAGAAAGUAGAAGUGUGGAAAAAGGUAGCUGCACAAAUGCUGGCAAAAGGAUAUGACUUUGGAGCAGAGGCAUGUGACAAUAAGUUCAGGCAGUUAAAACACAGAUACAAAACAAUAGUGGACAGUAAGAAGAAGACUGGGAGUGGUGCCAGCAGCUGGGUCUUUUUCUCAUCAAUGGAGGACCUCCUGGCUGAUGAUCCUAGUGUGGAACCAGUCUUGAUCGUGUCAUCUUUUGCUGGAUCUUCAUCAACUUCAGGACCAUCAACUUCAGGACCUAAGCCAUCAGCAGAACAUGGCAAAAAGAGAAAGCACAAGUCUGAAGCACCUGAGUGGUUUGAGCAGUAUGUCACUGAGCAGAGGAGGCAGAUGUCAGAGCUCAUGGCCCUGCAAAAGCAAGCAGUGGAAGUGGCAAGUGAACGUAACAACAUCUUAAAAGAAUUUGUUUCUGCUUUGAAGAAGAAAUAGAAACUUGUGUUUUCUCCUUUUGCCAUAUUCUGCUGAUAUUUAGGUUCUAUUUUGUUUCCUUCAGUAUACUGUACAUCAUGCCAUUAAACAAUCACCUCACCUUAAUGUAUUUUUUAUUUAUUUUAUUUUAUUUUUUUUUUUUUAUUUCUAAUUAUUUUUAUUUCCUAUUUCUUUUAUUAUAAACUAAAAACCUACUAGUAAAACUUAGGUCCUGAAGUAUUUUCAGGGUGUCCUGCUUGACAGUCAUUGUCAUCGUUUCCAUCCACCUCUUCACAAUCCUCCAUUUGGUGGCCUUCCUCCCUCAAGAGGAAAUUGUGCAGAACACAUGCAGCUGUGAUAACUACUGGUACUUUUUCAAGGUCUUCCAUGGGCAAGUACUUCAGACGUCUCCAUUUCCCCUUUAGAAGGCCAAAUGCCCUUUCAAUCACAACUCUGGUUGAGCUGUGGAGUGUGUUAAAAUUUUUUUGCCUUCUUGAUAAGUGCCCAUUAUCUCUGUAUGGUGUAAUGAGAGAUGUGCUGAGCGGGUAUGCAGAGUCUCCAAGCAGGUGGUAGUCACUUCUCAUUGCAUCCUGGAGAUGGCCAUAUAAUGGGCAGUUCCGAAAUACCCUAGCAUCAUGCACAGACCCUGGCCAACCAGUGUACACAUCCAGGAACAUCAUCUGUGAUGUACACACUGCUUGGAGUUGAAUACUUGCAUGUCCCUUUCUGUUAAUGUAACUGUUUCUGUGGAGUGUGGGUGCUGGGAUGGGAAUGUGUGUGCCAUCGAUUGCUCCAAUGACUCCAGGGAAGCCAGUUUUAUCCUGAAAGCCAUUUGCCAGGCUUGCAAACUCCUCCUCUCUGGGCCAUCGAAUGUAUUCAUUUCUUAGUGUACAAAGGACCUUGCAAAUGUCAGAAAAGAUAUAAUGAAGGGUUCCUUUUGACAUGUCAAACUGGUCUGCAACACCCCUGAAGCUCUCUUGGUUUGCCAACAACCAAAUGGAGCACAGCAAUUUUUUGGGGGUGUCCAAGGUUACAUUUAUCAGGAGAGGACCAACUUUCUCACAGAGAGCCUGUAGAAAAGUAUGUGCAAUAUUUAUAGUAGAGAUUUCUACAUCGCUAUGAUGCUGUAAAUAAGCUGACACAAAUCUUGCUAUGUCUGUUGUAUACACACUGAUGCACAUACUGCUAUAUGGGAAUUUGUAAAUAAAUGUAAUUAACAACAAAAUAAAUUCACAAGAGCAAGUAUAUUGUUUGCACAUGUUUAUUUACAUUAAAGGCAAAAUAACUUAAAUAAUAAGAGCACAAGUAUAGAUCUAGAACUUCUUUAAGUCUGUCUAAAUAUUUAUUAGUAAUUGCAAUGUCUUCUGGUCUAUUUUCUUUCCUUAGGAAGGUGUGCUAGACACUGAUUCAUUCUGGACGGCAAGGGCAGUGACUGUAACAUCGAGGGUACUUUGCAGUAUUAAACAAGUAUUUAUAUCAAUAUCAUCAGGCUCCGAAAAUUCUUCAAAAAGAACACAGAGAAUGGCCUUCUCAGCUGCCAUAGUUGCAACGCUUGCGUCAUCACAACAGGGUGUUCAACACGCCACCGUUUCCGUUUAAAAAACGUUUUGCAACGUUUUGUCGGGGCUGAACGCAGCCCUGAAGACUUGUCAGAUAAGAGGUGAGCUAAUCAUAGAAUGAAGACCCAGGUAAACAUUACCUUAUGAAUUAAUCUUUUCUGUUUCUUAUAGCAUUAUUGUUGUGUAUUGUUUGUAGUGUGAUCAACGUUUGCAUAAGUACUAGUAGACAUGGUAGGGAAGUAACACGUAACAUUUUAAUUAUAUUUUGAUAAAAUGAACGAAAUUAACGAAAUUACUCGAAAAAAAAAAAAAUUAGUUCAUUAUGCUGAACAAGACUCAAAUAUCAGAGUUGGUAAAAUGAUCCGAACUUCCCAUCACUAGUUUAAAAGGGGCUAUGUAUCAAUAUUUGAAAGCAUGAUCAGCAGUGCAGCGAUUGGCUGACGGCAAUGUAAUGACAUAAUUUAAUUUAAAAGACACCUACGAAAAACUUGACAAUUUUCUGGACUUUUAUAAGGAAACAGCCAAGCGAACAAAACUACAUAAAUGUUAUAAUAGAUAAAUAAAAUGUGCACUUUUUUUAUUUUAUUUUUAUUUUUUACAUGAUUCCCAAUUAUUUAGAUUUGCGAUUUAUAAUAUUUCUAAAGUCUUUACAUUUUUAUUUCAAUGUAGUAAUUAGCUAUUCAUUUAAUUAAAUAUUUGGACAGAUUUAUUAUGUGACCGCAUUAAUGAAAGUUUCUUAGGCUAGCAUGGACUACACUACAUUAUUUUAUUAUCUUUAAAUACAUUUUUAAAUUAUUCUUAUUUUAAAUUAUUGUCCCUGGAUCAGUAGGAUACUCUUGUAAUAAAGUAGCGGUGGCAGUGGACAGAUUCUAAGGAUCAGUUCUGGUUAAAAAGAUGCAAUCUAAUCAUAGACUUUAUAAAACCAGGAUCUAAUCCUGUUUACAUGAAAUAAACCUGCUCCUGAGCAGGUUUAAGCUUAUGGACCUGUUGCUAUGACAGCAACUCCAGGAUGAGCUUCGAAGAAUCAAAUGAUCCAAGAUCAUGCCAAAUCGUAAACAAUCAAAUCCAGCUUACUGAGUUAGCGACGUAUGAGGAAUGGGCCCCAGUUGUCACGCCCCUGGACUCAUUUCAUUGUUUUUUUUUUCCUCCCCACUGUGUGCCGUGUUCCCUUUAAUUAGUCAUUCCUUGCACCUGUGUCUUCCCAAUUAUCCUGUGUUCAAAAGCCCCAGUCCUUUCAGUUUGUUUUUGUUGGUUAUACUUGUUGGAUGUCUUCCUUGUUUUCUGUUUCUACAUUUUGGAUUAUUAAAGAUUUUUGUGUUUACUCCAGCGACUCCUCGUUCCCUCUUAGGGAGAGUAUGACAGAAUAACCGACCGAAACAGUUUAAAUUGCGUGUUUCCCUUCUGUUUUUGCUCAGUUUUUUUCUGUUGUGUAUUCCACAUGGAUCCCUUCACUCGCCCUGAAUUCCUCCUCCUCAUGCUGGAGCAGGGAGACAAAGCUCUUGAGGACCAUACCAAACUGUUCCUGUUGAAAGUGAAAGUGAU